rnacentral:rRNA from 1 species
UACAGAGGGGGGCAAGCGUUGUUCGGAAUUACUGGGCGUAAAGGGCGCGUAGGCGGCCUUCUAAGUCGAACGUGAAAUCCCUGGGCUCAACCCAGGAACUGCGUCCGAUACUGGAAGGCUUGAAUCCGGGAGAGGGAUGCGGAAUUCCAGGUGUAGCGGUGAAAUGCGUAGAUAUCUGGAGGAACACCGGUGGCGAAGGCGGCAUCCUG